rnacentral:rRNA from 1 species
UGGGGAAUAUUGGACAAUGGGCGCAAGCCUGAUCCAGCAAUGCCGCGUGAGUGAUGAAGGCCUUAGGGUUGUAAAGCUCUUUUACCAGGGAUGAUAAUGACAGUACCUGGAGAAUAAGCUCCGGCUAACUCCGUGCCAGCAGCCGCGGUAAUACGGAGGGAGCUAGCGUUGUUCGGAAUUACUGGGCGUAAAGCGCGCGUAGGCGGCUUAUCAAGUCAGGGGUGAAAUCCCGGGGCUCAACCCCGGAACUGCCCUUGAAACUGGUUGGCUAGAAUCCUGGAGAGGCGAGUGGAAUUCCGAGUGUAGAGGUGAAAUUCGUAGAUAUUCGGAAGAACACCAGUGGCGAAGGCGACUCGCUGGACAGGUAUUGACGCUGAGGUGCGAAAGCGUGGGGAGCAAACAGGAUUAGAUACCCCCGUAGUCC